CCUACGGGUGGCAGCAGUGGGGAAUAUUGCACAAUGGGGGAAACCCUGAUGCAGCGACGCCGCGUGAGUGAAGAAGUAUUUCGGUAUGUAAAGCUCUAUCAGCAGGGAAGAAAUAAAGUCCUUCGGACUUUGGACGGUACCUGACUAAGAAGCCCCGGCUAACUACGUGCCAGCAGCCGCGGUAAUCCGUAGGGGGCAAGCGUUAUCCGGAUGUACUGGGAGUAAAGGGAGCGUAUACGGCAGCGCAAGUCUGGAGUGAAAUCCCAUGGCUUAACCAUGGAACUGCUUUGGAAACUGUGCAGCUGGAGUGCAGGAGAGGUAAGCGGAAUUCCUAGUGUAGCGGUGAAAUGCGUAGAUAUUAGGAGGAACACCAGUGGCGAAGGCGGCUUACUGGACUGUAACUGACGUUGAGGCUCGAAAGCGUGGGGAGCAAACAGGAUUAGAUACGCCAGUAGUC
rnacentral:rRNA from 1 species